AACGCCUGUUGAAACACCGGUUCUCAUACGAUCAGUUAAGCAACGUCGAGCCUGGUCAGUACCUAGAACGGUGGCCGCUUUGGAAUACCAGGUGCUGUAAG